UUGUUUAAAAAAGUUUGAUUCUUGCUUUUUGUUUUAUUUUAUAGUAGAAAUGUAUAUGUAAGUUUUGAUUUGAUAUUAUGAUUUUAAUUUAAAAUUAUUUUAUAAGACAGAAUACUCUCAGUAUAUAAUAUUAAUUAUUAAUAAAGUUAGAAUUAGCAUUCUAUUCAAGGAUCUGAUGAAAUUUUGUGCCAGCAGUCGCGGUUAAUACUUUGAAGGUCGAGUAAAAUUAGGUUAACUAUUAGUAAAAUUGUAUUUUUUUUUUGUUUUUAUUCUGUUAAAAGGUUAAAUUAGUUUAAUGUAAAUAAAAAGUUUAUGAAAAAGUAUUGAAGCUAAUAAGUCUAUGAUAUAAACUAGGAUUAGAUACCCUAUUAUACUUAGAUGAAAUAAAAAAGAGUUAAUUAGUAUUAGUUAUUUUCUUAAAAUUAAGAGAAUUUGGCGGUUAAUUAGUCUUGUUAGAGGAACCUGUUUUUUAAACGAUAAACCACGAAAAUCUUACUUAUAUUUGUUUUCAGUUUGUAUACCGUCAUUAUUAGAUGAUUUUUAUUGAAAUAAUUGUUUAAAUUUAAUUUGGUUAAAUAUAUUAGAUCAAGGUGCAGCUUAUAUAUAAGUUAAAAUGGGUUACAAUAAAAUUUAUUUAUAAUGGAUUUAUUCUGUAAGAGAGUAAUGAAGGAGGAUUUAAUUGUAAUAUAAAGUUAAUAAUUUUGUAUGAUAUCAGCUCUGAUUUAUGUACAUAUCGCCCGUCACUUUCGUUUUAAAAUGAUAUAAGUCGUAACAUAGUAGAUGUAUUGGAAAAUACAUCUAGUUGUAAA
rnacentral:ncRNA from 1 species